ACGGCCAUACCACAUUGAAAACACCGGUUCUCGUCCGAUCACCGAAGUUAAGCAAUGUCGGGCCCGGUCAGUACUUGGGAGGGUGACAAUCUGCGCGGAUU